CCCAGCUUCCACCAAAUAUCGGGACCCCAGCCCUGGAAACCAACCCCCCAAUUGCUCUCUCUCCUCUAAGAAAAAGAUAAUUUAUCUCCCACUUUGACUCUGUGGUCCCACCCCUCCUCUCCUCUUGUCUAGACUUCCAAGUGCUGGCCUCCGUCUCCCCCCAGUCUGUUCCCCCCUUCGGCUCUCAGCCUUCAUCUUCCAAUUGUCACUUUCUCCUUCACAACUGAGAUCUGGAUUUGUGAUUAGUUAAACUGACUGGCUUGGGGAGCUGGGGGAAGUUUGGGAAGGGGGAACUGGGACACCCUGAGCCUUCAAAUUGGCAAACUGUGUCCUCGUCCCGUGACUCCUUGUCUGCUGUGCUCCUCACCCUAGACACACACAUCAUUUAAUCACUCUCUCAAGUUCAAAAGUGAAUUAAAACUCGAAGGAGACUGAGGGGCAGGGGUAUUUCUGUCACACCCUUUCUCUGGCUUCCUUGGGAGACAAGGGUGGCCUGGAGGAACAAUAGCUUCCCUUAGCCCCUUCCUCCUGCCUCAGGUUAGAAAAGGUAGUAGGGGAGGUGGGACACAGAGUGGAGGUGACAAAGACCCCUUCCCACACAGGCGCUGGAAGGAAGGAGGAGGGGGUUGCCUCAGAGCGGGCUGUUAUUUUGGUGGUGGUGGUGCCUCCAGAUAGGGGCAGCACCCCCUUUUUGCUGCCUUUCCAGGGAGAGCAGCAAGAGAAAGAAAGAGAGAGGCAAGCGAAAUUCCUGAAUGGAUAGACAGAUGCUACGUCAUCGGAGCUGCAUCCUCCACUCCACAAGAGGCUAGGAGCUGGGGGGAGAGAGGCAGUCCAGCCACAGGGGCCACCCGGACAGUCUCUCCUCACAGAAACCGGACAUGGCCAACAUCUUAAUGCUUGCACCAGAGGAGAGGCAGGAAGGAAAAUUGUCGUGGAGCUGGGAGGGAGGAGAAAAAACGCCUCAAGCCUGAGAUUGAAGAGGGGGCCCGAGACUGUCUAGGUCCUGAAGGCACAGGACUGGGAGAGAAGGAGUUGGUGAGAGGGGGAUCGGGAGACUGGGGCCAUUAGGGAAAGAGGAUUGGAGCCUCUUGAAGGACUUUAACAUUUCUAUUCUCCCCUU